rnacentral:rRNA from 1 species
UACGGGGGGGGCAAGCGUUGUUCGGAAUUACUGGGCGUAAAGGGCUCGUAGGUGGCCAACUAAGUCAUACGUGAAAUCCCUCAGCUUAACUGGGGAACUGCGCCUGAUACUGGUUGGCUUGAGUUUGGGAGAGGGACGCGGAAUUCCAGGUGUAGCGGUGAAAUGCGUAGAUAUCUGGAGGAACACCGGUGGCGAAGGCGACUUUCUGGCCUGUUCUUGACGCUGAGGCGCGAAAGCUAGGGGAGCAAACGGG